rnacentral:rRNA from 1 species
ACUCCUACGGGAGGCAGCAGUGGGGAAUAUUGGACAAUGGGCGCAAGCCUGAUCCAGCCAUGCCGCGUGAGUGAUGAAGGCCCUAGGGUUGUAAAGCUCUUUCACCGGUGAAGAUAAUGACGGUAACCGGAGAAGAAGCCCCGGCUAACUUCGUGCCAGCAGCCGCGGUAAUACGAAGGGGGCUAGCGUUGUUCGGAUUUACUGGGCGUAAAGCGCACGUAGGCGGACUAUUAAGUCAGGGGUGAAAUCCCGGGGCUCAACCCCGGAACUGCCUUUGAUACUGGUAGUCUUGAGUUCGAGAGAGGUGAGUGGAAUUCCGAGUGUAGAGGUGAAAUUCGUAGAUAUUCGGAGGAACACCAGUGGCGAAGGCGGCUCACUGGCUCGAUACUGACGCUGAGGUGCGAAAGCGUGGGGAGCAAACAGGAUUAGAUACCCGGGUAGUCCCAU